rnacentral:rRNA from 1 species
AUGAACGCUGGCGGCGUGCCUAAUACAUGCAAGUCGAGCGAACGGACGAGAAGCUUGCUUUUCUGAUGUUAGCGGCGGACGGGUGAGUAACACGUGGAACCUACCUAUAAGACUGGGAUAACUUCGGGAAACCGGAGCUAAUACCGGAUAAUAUUUUGAACCGCAUGGUUCAAAAGUGAAAGACGGUCUUGCUGUCACUUAUAGAUGGAUCCGCGCUGCAUUAGCUAGUUGGUAAGGUAACGGCUUACCAAGGCAACGAUGCAUAGCCGACCUGAGAGGGUGAUCGGCCACACUGGAACUGAGACACGGUCCAGACUCCUACGGGAGGCAGCAGUAGGGAAUCUUCCGCAAUGGGCGAAAGCCUGACGGAGCAACGCCGCGUGAGUGAUGAAGGUCUUCGGAUCGUAAAACUCUGUUAUUAGGGAAGAACAUAUGUGUAAGUAACUGUGCACAUCUUGACGGUACCUAAUCAGAAAGCCACGGCUAACUACGUG